GACGAACGCUGGCGGCGUGCUUAACACAUGCAAGUCGAACGGAAAGGCCCUGCUUUUGUGGGGUGCUCGAGUGGCGAACGGGUGAGUAACACGUGAGUAACCUGCCCUUGACUUUGGGAUAACUUCAGGAAACUGGGGCUAAUACCGGAUAGGAGCUCCUGCUGCAUGGUGGGGGUUGGAAAGUUUCGGCGGUUGGGGAUGGACUGGCGGCUUAUCAGCUUGUUGGUGGGGUAGUGGCUUACGAAGGCUUUGACGGGUAGCCGGCCUGAGAGGGUGACCGGCCACAUUGGGACUGCGAUACGGCCCAGAAUGCUACGGGAGGCAGCAGUGGGGAAUAUUGCACAACGGGCGGAAGCGUGAUGCAGCAACGCCGCGUGCGGGAUGACGGCCUUCGGGUUGUAAACCGCUUUCGCCUGUGACGAAGCGUGAGUGACGGUAAUGGGUAAAGAAGCACCGGCUAACUACGUG
rnacentral:rRNA from 1 species